GACGAACGCUGGCGGCGUGCCUAAUACAUGCAAGUUGAGCGCUGAAGGUUGGUACUUGUCCCAACUGGAUGAGCAGCGGACGGGUGAGUAACGCGUGGGGAAUCUGCCUUUGAGCGGGGGACAACAUUUGGAAACGAAUGCUAAUACCGCAUAAAAACUUUAAACACAAGUUUUAAGUUUGAAAGAUGCAAUUGCAUCACUCAAAGAUGAUCCCGCGUUGUAUUAGCUAGUUGGUGAGGUAAAGGCUCACCAAGGCGAUGAUACAUAGCCGACCUGAGAGGGUGAUCGGCCACAUUGGGACUGAGACACGGCCCAAACUCCUACGGGAGGCAGCAGUAGGGAAUCUUCGGCAAUGGACGAAAGUCUGACCGAGCAACGCCGCGUGAGUGAAGAAGGGUUUCGGAUCGUAAAACUCUGUUGGUAGAGAAGAACGUUGGUGAGAGUGGAAAGCUCAUCAAGUGACGGUAACUACCCAGAAAGGGACGGCUAACUACGUG
rnacentral:rRNA from 1 species